rnacentral:snRNA from 1 species
AACUUUAAUCUUCUCCUUUAGUU